rnacentral:rRNA from 1 species
GGUAGCGAAAUUCCUUGUCGGGUAAGUUCCGACCUGCACGAAUGGCGUAACGACUCCCCCGCUGUCUCCACCACGGGCCCGGCGAAAUUGCAUUACGAGUAAAGAUGCUCGUUGCGCGCAGAAGGACGGAAAGACCCCGGGACCUUCACUGCAGCUUGGUAUUGGCGCCCGGUUCGGCUCGUGCAGGAUAGGUGGGAGACUAUGAGGCCGCCGCGUCAGCGGCGGCGGAGUCAUCGUUGAGAUACCACUCCGGCCGUGUCGUGCGCCUGAACCUGGGCCCGUGAUCCGGGUCAGGGACAGUGCCUGGCGGGUAGUUCAACUGGGGCGGUUGCCUCCCAAAGAGUAACGGAGGCGCUCAAAGGUCCCCUCAGCCUGGUCGGCAACCAGGUGUCGAGUGCAAGUGCACAAGGGGGCUUGACUGCGAGACCGACGGGUCGGGCAGGUGCGAAAGCAGGAACUAGUGAUCCGGCGGCUCCGUGUGGACGGGCCGUCGCUCAACGGAUAAAAGGUACCCCGGGGAUAACAGGCUGAUCCUGCCCAAGAGUCCAUAUCGACGGCAUGGUUUGGCACCUCGAUGUCGGCUCGUCGCAUCCUGGGGCUGGAGCAGGUCCCAAGGGUUGGGCUGUUCGCCCAUUAAAGCGGUACGCGAGCUGGGUUUAGAACGUCGUGAGACAGUUCGGUCCCUAUCCUCUGCGCGCGCAGGAGACUUGAGGAGACCCGUCCCCAGUACGAGAGGACCGGGACGGACGGACCUCUGGUGCGCCAGUUGUCCCGCCAGGGGCACCGCUGGUUGGCCACGUCCGGGAAGGGUAACCGCUGAAGGCAUCUAAGCGGGAAACCACCUCCAAGACCAGGUCCCCGCACAACCCCCCCCGGGGGGUUGUGGAAGGCCCCCAGUGGACCACUGGGUCGAUAGGCCGGAGGUGCAAGCCCGGCAACGGGCUCAGCCGACCGGUACUAAUAGGCCGACACGAACCACAC